rnacentral:ncRNA from 2 species
UACGGAGGGUGCAAGCGUUAAUCGGAAUUACUGGGCGUAAAGCGCACGUAGGUGGUUUGUUAAGCCAGCUGUGAAAUCCCCGGGCUCAACCUGGGAAUUGCAGUUGGAACUGGCAAGCUAGAGUACGGUAGAGGGGUGUGGAAUUUCAGGUGUAGCGGUGAAAUGCGUAGAUAUCUGAAGGAACAUCAGUGGCGAAGGCGACACCCUGGACUGAUACUGACACUGAGGUGCGAAAGCGUGGGGAGCAAACAGG